UUUUUAUUUGGUACUGUCUCUGUUGAAUCAAAUUUGAUUGGCAAUUUAUAAUGCUGAAUCAAAUUUGUAGCUAAUUGCAGUUUUUUGUAUUUUAAUGUAGUUUCAUGUAAUUUUUAUUUGGAAGUGUCACUAUUGACUCAAUUGUGUAGUUAAUUAUAGUUUUUGUAGUUUAAUGUAGUUUACUGUACUUUUUAUUUGGAACUGUGAUAAAAAUACAGUAUAUAAAAAUAGUUACAUUGUUCCUG
rnacentral:lncRNA from 1 species